rnacentral:rRNA from 1 species
GACGAACCGUACGAACGUUAUUCGGAAUUACUGGGCUUAAAGCGUGCGUAGGCGGCGCGGUAAGUUGGAUGUGAAAUCCCUCGGCUCAACCGAGGAACUGCGUCCAAAACUGCCGUGCUCGAGGAAGAUAGAGGUGAGCGGAACUCACGGUGGAGCGGUGAAAUGCGUUGAUAUCGUGAGGAACACCCGUGGCGAAAGCGGCUCACUGGGUCUUUUCUGACGCUGAGGCACGAAAGCUAGGGGAGCAAACGGG